GGGUUGUGAGGUUAAGCGACUAAGCGUACACGGUGGAUGCCCUGGCAGUCAGAGGCGAUGAAGGACGUGCUAAUCUGCGAUAAGCGCCGGUAAGGUGAUAUGAACCGUUAUAACCGGCGAUUUCCGAAUGGGGAAACCCAGUGUGAUUCGUCACACUAUCAUUAACUGAAUCCAUAGGUUAAUGAGGCGAACCGGGGGAACUGAAACAUCUAAGUACCCCGAGGAAAAGAAAUCAACCGAGAUUCCCCCAGUAGCGGCGAGCGAACGGGGAGGAGCCCAGAGCCUGAAUCAGCAUGUGUGUUAGUGGAAGCGUCUGGAAAGGCGCGCGAUACAGGGUGACAGCCCCGUACACAAAAGCGCAUGUGCUGUGAGCUCGAUGAGUAGGGCGGGACACGUGGUAUCCUGUCUGAAUAUGGGGGGACCAUCCUCCAAGGCUAAAUACUCCUGACUGACCGAUAGUGAACCAGUACCGUGAGGGAAAGGCGAAAAGAACCCCGGCGAGGGGAGUGAAAAAGAACCUGAAACCGUGUACGUACAAGCAGUGGGAGCACCCUUCGGGGUGUGACUGCGUACCUUUUGUAUAAUGGGUCAGCGACUUAUAUUCUGUAGCAAGGUUAACCGUAUAGGGGAGCCGGAGGGAAACCGAGUCUUAAUUGGGCGUUAAGUUGCAGGGUAUAGACCCGAAACCCGGUGAUCUAGCCAUGGGCAGGUUGAAGGUUGGGUAACACUAACUGGAGGACCGAACCGACUAAUGUUGAAAAAUUAGCGGAUGACCUGUGGCUGGGGGUGAAAGGCCAAUCAAACCGGGAGAUAGCUGGUUCUCCCCGAAAGCUAUUUAGGUAGCGCCUCGUGAAUUCAUCUCCGGGGGUAGAGCACUGUUUCGGCUAGGGGGCCAUCCCGGCUUACCAACCCGAUGCAAACUGCGAAUACCGGAGAAUGUUAUCACGGGAGACACACGGCGGGUGCUAACGUCCGUCGUGAAGAGGGAAACAACCCAGACCGCCAGCUAAGGUCCCAAAGUCAUGGUUAAGUGGGAAACGAUGUGGGAAGGCCCAGACAGCCAGGAUGUUGGCUUAGAAGCAGCCAUCAUUUAAAGAAAGCGUAAUAGCUCACUGGUCGAGUCGGCCUGCGCGGAAGAUGUAACGGGGCUAAACCAUGCACCGAAGCUGCGGCAGCGAACGUAUCACCCAAGACAACUUUACGGAGUUGACGAUUGACGGAGCGAAGCGACGUCAAAGCGUUCAUUAAAGUCGAGUUGGCUUAGGGAUACGUUCGUUGGGUAGGGGAGCGUUCUGUAAGCCUGUGAAGGUGUGUCGUGAGGCAUGCUGGAGGUAUCAGAAGUGCGAAUGCUGACAUAAGUAACGAUAAAGCGGGUGAAAAGCCCGCUCGCCGGAAGACCAAGGGUUCCUGUCCAACGUUAAUCGGGGCAGGGUGAGUCGACCCCUAAGGCGAGGCCGAAAGGCGUAGUCGAUGGGAAACGGGUUAAUAUUCCCGUACUUGGUGUUACUGCGAAGGGGGGACGGAGAAGGCUAUGUUGGCCGGG
rnacentral:rRNA from 1 species